rnacentral:rRNA from 1 species
CCUACGGGAGGCAGCAGUAGGGAAUCUUCCGCAAUGGACGAAAGUCUGACGGAGCAACGCCGCGUGAGCGAUGAAGGCCUUCGGGUCGUAAAGCUCUGUUGUUAGGGAAGCGGUACCUAACCAGAAAGCCACGGCUAACUACGUGCCAGCAGCCGCGGUAAUACGUAGGUGGCAAGCGUUGUCCGGAAUUAUUGGGCGUAAAGCGCGCGCAGGCGGUCCUUUAAGUCUGAUGUGAAAGCCCACGGCUCAACCGUGGAGGGUCAUUGGAAACUGGGGGACUUGAGUACAGAAGAGGAAAGCGGAAUUCCACGUGUAGCGGUGAAAUGCGUAGAGAUGUGGAGGAACACCAGUGGCGAAGGCGGCUUUCUGGUCUGUACUGACGCUGAGGCGCGAAAGCGUGGGGAGCAAACAGGAUUAGAUACCCCAGUAGUC